CUUAGCAACUUCAAAACCUUUCUGGCGUGUACACGUUCGCUUGCAUCUCCACUUUGUUCAAGAACUUGAAGGUGAAGAUCAUCACAACCCAUUAGACCAAUAGUUAACCCAGCAAAUACACCUCCUAACAAAAUCAAAACAGCGCUAAUAAUUAGCUUCAUCCAAUACUCAAAAUCCGAAUCCUUUUCAGCACUAACGAAACCUCCAUCUUGAGAAGGAUUCAUUGCAAUGCCAAUUCCAUCAUUCUGUCUAAACGCCCUUAAAGGAUAUGCAACCGCAUAACUCUGCAAUAAUAUGAAAACUGUUGAAAAGCCAUACAAACUGGCUUUUCGAAUUCUCAAUAGGGACAUACUCUUCCUACCAAAAUCAAUAGAUU